AAAUUGAAGAGUUUGAUCAUGGCUCAGAUUGAACGCUGGCGGCAGGCCUAACACAUGCAAGUCGAGCGGAAACGAGUUAUCUGAACCUUCGGGGGACGAUAACGGCGUCGAGCGGCGGACGGGUGAGUAAUGCCUAGGAAAUUGCCCUGAUGUGGGGGAUAACCAUUGGAAACGAUGGCUAAUACCGCAUGAUGCCUACGGGCCAAAGAGGGGGACCUUCGGGCCUCUCGCGUCAGGAUAUGCCUAGGUGGGAUUAGCUAGUUGGUGAGGUAACGGCUCACCAAGGCGACGAUCCCUAGCUGGUCUGAGAGGAUGACCAGCCACA
rnacentral:rRNA from 1 species